UGCAGUCGACGAUGAACACUUCGGUGGGGAUUAGUGGCGAACGGGUGAGUAACACGUGGGCAAUCUGCCCUUCACUCUGGGACAAGCCCUGGAAACGGGGUCUAAUACCGGAUAAUACUUCCACUCGCAUGGGUGGGGGUUAAAAGCUCCGGCGGUGAAGGAUGAGCCCGCGGCCUAUCAGCUUGUUGGUGAGGUAAUGGCUCACCAAGGCGACGACGGGUAGCCGGCCUGAGAGGGCGACCGGCCACACUGGGACUGAGACACGGCCCAGACUCCUACGGGAGGCAGCAGUGGGGAAUAUUGCACAAUGGGCGAAAGCCUGAUGCAGCGACGCCGCGUGAGGGAUGACGGCCUUCGGGUUGUAAACCUCUUUCAGCAGGGAAGAAGCGAAAGUGACGGUACCUGCAGAAGAAGCGCCGGCUAACUACGUGCCAGCAGCCGCGGUAAUACGUAGGGCGCAAGCGUUGUCCGGAAUUAUUGGGCGUAAAGAGCUCGUAGGCGGUCUGUCGCGUCGGAUGUGAAAGCCCGGGGCUUAACCCCGGGUCUGCAUUCGAUACGGGCAGACUAGAGUGUGGUAGGGGAGAUCGGAAUUCCUGGUGUAGCGGUGAAAUGCGCAGAUAUCAGGAGGAACACCGGUGGCGAAGGCGGAUCUCUGGGCCAUUACUGACGCUGAGGAGCGAAAGCGUGGGGAGCGAACAGGAUUAGAUACCCUGGUAGUCCACGCCGUAAACGGUGGGAACUAGGUGUUGGCGACAUUCCACGUCGUCGGUGCCGCAGCUAACGCAUUAAGUUCCCCGCCUGGGGAGUACGGCCGCAAGGCUAAAACUCAAAGGAAUUGACGGGGGCCCGCACAAGCAGCGGAGCAUGUGGCUUAAUUCGACGCAACGCGAAGAACCUUACCAAGGCUUGACAUACACCGGAAACGUCUGGAGACAGGCGCCCCCUUGUGGUCGGUGUACAGGNGGUGCAUGGCUUGUCGUCAGCUCGUGUCGUGAGAUGUUGGGUUAAGUCCCGCANCGAGCGCAACCCUUNGUUCUGUGGUUGCCAGCAUGGCCUUNCGGGNUUGAUGGGGGACUCACAAGGAAGACUGGCCNGGGGUCAACUCCGGAAGGAAGGUGGGGGA
rnacentral:rRNA from 1 species